rnacentral:rRNA from 1 species
GACGAACGCUGGCGGCGUGCUUAACACAUGCAAGUCGAGCGGUAAGGCCCUUUCGGGGGUACACGAGCGGCGAACGGGUGAGUAACACGUGGGUGACCUGCCCUCAGCUCUGGGAUAAGCCUGGGAAACUGGGUCUAAUACUGGAUAUGACUCCACGGUGCAUGUCGUGGGGUGGAAAGCCUUGUGCGGCUGAGGAUGGGCCCGCGGCCUAUCAGCUUGUUGGUGGGGUGANGGGCCCUACCAAGGCGACGACGGGUAGCCGGCCUGAGAGGGCGACCGGCCACACUGGGACUGAGACACGGCCCAGACUCCUACGGGAGGCAGCAGUGGGGAAUCUUGCGCAAUGGGCGAAAGCCUGACGCAGCGACGCCGCGUGAGGGAUGACGGCCUU